UACGAAGGGUGCUAGCGUUGUUCGGAAUUACUGGGCGUAAAGCGCACGUAGGCGGCUUUGUAAGUUAGAGGUGAAAGCCCGGGGCUCAACUCCGGAAUUGCCUUUAAGACUGCAUCGCUAGAAUUGUGGAGAGGUAAGUGGAAUUCCGAGUGUAGAGGUGAAAUUCGUAGAUAUUCGGAAGAACACCAGUGGCGAAGGCGACUUACUGGACACAUAUUGACGCUGAGGUGCGAAAGCGUGGGGAGCAAACAGG
rnacentral:rRNA from 1 species